rnacentral:rRNA from 1 species
GACGAACGCUGGCGGCGUGCUUAACACAUGCAAGUCGAACGGGAACCUUUAUUUCGGUAAAGGUGAGAGUGGCAAACGGGUGAGUAACACGUAGGCAACCUGCCGACAGGAUGGGGACAACAUUCCGAAAGGAAUGCUAAUACCGAAUGAAGUCACCGGAGGGCAUCCUCUGGUGAUGAAAGAUGGCCUCUGAAUAUGCUAUCACCUGUCGAUGGGCCUGCGUCUGAUUAGCCAGUUGGCGGGGUAACGGCCCACCAAAGCGACGAUCAGUAGCCGGUCUGAGAGGAUGAACGGCCACAUUGGGACUGAGACACGGCCCAGACUCCUACGGGAGGCAGCAGUGGGGAAUCUUCCACAAUGGGCGAAAGCCUGAUGGAGCAACGCCGCGUGAGUGAAGAAGGUCUUCGGAUCGUAAAGCUCUGUUGCACGGGACGAAAACCGAGCUUGAAAACAUUGAGUUUGGGGG